rnacentral:tRNA from 1 species
GCCUGGGUGGCUCAGUUGGUUAAGCGUCUGACUUAGGCUCAGGUCAUGAUCUCACGGUUUGUGGGUUCGAGCCCUGCGUCGGGCU